GGGGCUGUUCCGGCAUUCGACGGGGAAUGGCGGGCGGAGUAAGCAUACCGAAGGCUCGUCUUCGUAAAAACGGAAAUUAAAAUUAAACGCAAACAACAACAAAACCGAGAGCGCUCAAACUCUCGCCUUCGCUGCUUAACUUAUAGCGAAGUGUCGGGCGGGUAGGUCCGCGAACCCGUUCCGGCAUCAUCCAGCGGAACAGGGCAACCGCAUCGCCGCGCUGCGGAUUGCAAGACCAGCGGCUCUCCGAUAGGCAGGCUUGCCGUUUGGCCGGCUUAAAGGGAAUAACAACAAUCGGCUAAGUAUGUAGAAGUCGCCGCUUCAAGUUUUUCGGACAGGGGUUCGACUCCCCUCAGCUCCACCA
rnacentral:tmRNA from 2 species